UCUUUGACAAUUUUUAGGGCCUUCCUCUGACACUGCCUGGUGUAGAGAUCCAGGAUGGCAGGCAGCUUAGCCCCAGAAACUAUUUUAGAAGCGCUGAAACCUAUGGAGAUAACCCGUUGGUCUGGAAAGGCACAACAACCAGGAGAACUUCCUGUUGUGGAUCAACGAAGAGGACCACACCCGGGUCAUCUAGAUGGAGAAGGGCAGCAACAUGAAGAGGGUGUUUGAGAGGUUCUACAGGGGACUUGAGGAGGUGAAGAGGCUGAUCAUGGAGAAAGGCUGGGAGUUCAUGUGGAGCGAGAGGCUGGGAAACAUCCUCACCUGCCCCUCCAACCUGGGCACUGGACUCAGGGCAUCCUGCCUCGUUUUAGCAAGAAGAUGCUGGACAACCUGAUUCUGCAGAAGCGAGGUAUGGACGGCGUGGACUCCGCAACUGUGGCACAACCUCUGACAUCUCUAACCUGGCCAGACUGGGUGAGUCAGAGGUCCAGCUGGUUCAGAAUGUGAUUGAAGGGGUUAAAUACCUGAUUGUGUGUGAGAAGAGACUGGAGAGAGAUCAGGAUAUCCGAAUCCCUGCACCCAUCUCACAGUUCCAAGUAGAGAGAGACUGGCCUUGCAGAUUGCCCGACUUGCGAUUUUACAUUCACAAACAAUAUUCUUCAAUAAAGCUGUAUAAAUGCAAAUCA